UGCUCGGUCCAAGAUUUACGUAUUGCGCUAUCUAUUGAGAACUGAAAGCCGAAGACCCAACUGCUAUUCCUUGCAGCUAACUAUGGCUUCGAGACCAUUUGCCUCCUUCCACCUCCUUGUAAAGCUUGUUUUGCUGACAUCAAUAUGGUUAUCGCACGUGCUGGAAUCGAAGGUAUACUCGCCAGAAGAAAGUCUGCGUGGUUUUGUAAGCACGUGGCAUGGAUCUACGGGCAUAAUUGAGCCCCGUAUGGCUUUAUCGGCAUCUAGAAGUUAUCGGCGACGUUAUUAUGGUAUACCGGGAGUGUCUCCUCAUUGCAAGAUGGAAUGUACAAAAGGGAGAAAAUCUCUUUGUUUUACCAGCCCAGGAUGGAAGUCUUGCAUGUGCGCCUGCGUGCCGCCCUAUGAUCCAUGCCCGCCAGUUGGAAGGAAUGCAUGUGCCACUGGCGUCGGCUUCAAAACGAAAUCUACCUAGGAUAUGUGCCUAUGCACAUGUGAUAGCAAUGGAGUCAAAACUUGAUCACGCUGACCUGGGCUCCUUUCACGCAUAUAUACCUGAGCCGUCAACACACCAUUGAUUCAAUAUCCUACAUAAUAAAGUUAUGAGCUAUGUGCGCUCAACACACUUCAAA